rnacentral:rRNA from 1 species
UACGGGGGGGCAAGCGUUGUUCGGAAUUACUGGGCGUAAAGGGUCUGUAGGUGGCUGCUAAGUCAGACGUGAAAUCCCUCAGCUUAACUGGGGAACUGCCUUUGAAACUGCUUGGCUUGAGGCCGGGAGAGGGUAGCGGAAUUCCCAGUGUAGCGGUGAAAUGCGUAGAUAUUGGGAGGAACACCAGUGGCGAAGGCGGCUACCUGG